rnacentral:tRNA from 1 species
AAAGUCUUAGCUUAAUUAAAGUAUUUGAGUUGCAUUCAUAAGAUGUUGAUAAAAUCAACAGGCUUUC